rnacentral:rRNA from 1 species
CGGGACACGUGGUAUCCUGUCUGAAUAUGGGGGGACCAUCCUCCAAGGCUAAAUACUCCUGACUGACCGAUAGUGAACCAGUACCGUGAGGGAAAGGCGAAAAGAACCCCGGCGAGGGGAGUGAAAAAGAACCUGAAACCGUGUACGUACAAGCAGUGGGAGCACGCUUAGGCGUGUGACUGCGUACCUUUUGUAUAAUGGGUCAGCGACUUAUAUUCUGUAGCAAGGUUAACCGAAUAGGGGAGCCGAAGGGAAACCGAGUCUUAACUGGGCGUUAAGUUGCAGGGUAUAGACCCGAAACCCGGUGAUCUAGCCAUGGGCAGGUUGAAGGUUGGGUAACACUAACUGGAGGACCGAACCGACUAAUGUUGAAAAAUUAGCGGAUGACUUGUGGCUGGGGGUGAAAGGCCAAUCAAACCGGGAGAUAGCUGGUUCUCCCCGAAAGCUAUUUAGGUAGCGCCUCGUGAAUUCAUCUCCGGGGGUAGAGCACUGUUUCGGCAAGGGGGUCAUCCCGACUUACCAACCCGAUGCAAACUGCGAAUACCGGAGAAUGUUAUCACGGGAGACACACGGCGGGUGCUAACGUCCGUCGUGAAGAGGGAAACAACCCAGACCGCCAGCUAAGGUCCCAAAGUCAUGGUUAAGUGGGAAACGAUGUGGGAAGGCCCAGACAGCCAGGAUGUUGGCUUAGAAGCAGCCAUCAUUUAAAGAAAGCGUAAUAGCUCACUGGUCGAGUCGGCCUGCGCGGAAGAUGUAACGGGGCUAAACCAUGCACCGAAGCUGCGGCAGCGACGCUUAUGCGUUGUUGGGUAGGGGAGCGUUCUGUAAGCCUGUGAAGGUGUACUGUGAGGUAUGCUGGAGGUAUCAGAAGUGCGAAUGCUGA